UACGUAGGGCGCAAGCGUUAUCCGGAAUUAUUGGGCGUAAAGAGCUCGUAGGCGGUUUGUCGCGUCUGCCGUGAAAGUCCGGGGCUCAACUCCGGAUCUGCGGUGGGUACGGGCAGACUAGAGUGAUGUAGGGGAGACUGGAAUUCCUGGUGUAGCGGUGGAAUGCGCAGAUAUCAGGAGGAACACCGGUGGCGAAGGCGGCUCUCUGGGACGGUACUGACGCUGAGACGCGAAAGCGUGGGGAGCGAACAGG
rnacentral:rRNA from 1 species